GGAAAGUUGCCGGAGUGGUCGAUCGGGGCGGUCUCGAAAACCGUUGACCCUUCGUGGGUCCGGGGGUUCGAAUCCCUCACUUUCCG
rnacentral:tRNA from 1 species